AGUGAACGCUGGCGGUAGGCCUAACACAUGCAAGUCGAACGGCAGCACAGGAGAGCUUGCUCUCUGGGUGGCGAGUGGCGGACGGGUGAGGAAUACAUCGGAAUCUACUCUGUCGUGGGGGAUAACGUAGGGAAACUUACGCUAAUACCGCAUACGACCUACGGGUGAAAGCAGGGGACCUUCGGGCCUUGCGCGAUUGAAUGAGCCGAUGUCGGAUUAGCUAGUUGGCGGGGUAAAGGCCCACCAAGGCGACGAUCCGUAGCUGGUCGGAGAGGAUUACCAGCCACGCUGGAACUGAGAAACGGUCCAGACUCCGACGGGAGGCAGCGGUGGUGAAUAUUGGACAAUGGGCGCAAGCCUGAUCCAGCCAUACCGCGUGGGUGAAGAAGGCCUUCGGGUUGUAAAGCCCUUUUGUUGGGAAAGAAAUCCAGCUGGCUAAUACCCGGUUGGGAUGACGGUACCCAAAGAAUAAGCACCGGCUAACUUCGUGCCAGCCGCCGCCGUAA
rnacentral:rRNA from 1 species